ensembl:lncRNA
GUUUGUUUGUUUUAAUAGCUGCUAGUUACAUAACCAAAUGGUUGACCUCUUUUAAACAUGACCUUACUGAGGCAUUUGCCUAGAGAAAGUCUGAGGAGGAAAUUAGAACAAGGGGUCAAGUGGUGUGACAUCAUACAUGUAGAUUAUAAAAGGCAGAGGGGUUUCAGAGAGGUUGUGGCUGAUGGAGAAUGGGAGAGAGGAACAUUGCUGCAGAAGGUAGUCAUUGUUUGAGGAACUGAGAAUCUACAGGAUGACACCCACACUUCUGCAGCGAAAUUCAUGGUGGGGCUGAAGGCUGGCUGUUACUGUGAUGAUCUAAACACUCACUGUGACAUUGCUUUCAAUUUGGGGAGUCUGAGUGAACUCCGGGAGUUGGUGAUGGACAGGGAGGCCCAGCGUGCUGCAAUUCACGGGGUCGCAAAGAGUUGGACACGACUGAGUGACUGAACUGAACUGAACUGAUACACAGAAAUUACUGGAUCAUAUGGUAAUUCUGUUUUUAAGUUUUUGAGGAGCCUCCAAACUGUUUUCCAUAGUGACUGUACUAUUUUAUAUUUGGAGUAGGUGUAUCUCUUUUAUAUAUAAUUCAUUUAUUGGUCUUUGGUUGCGCUAUGCUUUUGUGGCUGUGUGAGGGCUUUGUCUAGUUGCGGAGAGCGGGGGCUACUCUUGGUUGUGGUGCACAGGCUUCUCAUUGUGGUGGCUUCUCUUGUGAGCGGCAUGGGCUCUGGGUGCUCAGGCUUCAGUAGUUGCUGCAUACAGGCUCAUUGGUUGUGGCUCGCAGGCUCUAAAGAAAGGGCUCAACAGCUGUGGGGCACAGGCUUUAGCUGCCCCAUGCCAUGUGGAAUCUUUCCAGACCAGGGAUCGAUCCCAUGACCCCUGCAUUGGCAGGCAGACUCCUAUCCACUAUACCACCAGGGAAGUCCUGGAGUGUAUCUUUUUUGAUGCAACCUCUUUUUGACAUGAAAAUGUAAGGCAAGCAGUUCCUCUGUCCUGGAAGAAAAUGUUGGAAGUCUCUCUUCCUUUAGUGUUCAGAGCAGGGGUAAAAGAGGUGGAUUAAUAGGGCCUUACUGAUGCAAAAAGGUCUAUAUCUUAGUCCCUUUAUCAUCUGUGUUUUAUCCACUAGUGUUUUCUGCACUGGACAGAAAGAGGAACACCUCAACAUGUCCCAUGCUGCUCCAUUAAACUCUACGGCUGUAGAACCCCAGAGAGAAACUGUUAAAAUUUCCUACCAUCCUAUGGGCUCUGGUAUAAAAAAGUUGGCAGGGCACAAAAUUAACAUCUUUUCUUGAUUAAAAAAAAUAGUGUGACAACAUUAAGUUCCAUAUUAAUGGAAGAAAUACUUUGGCACUCAUUGGAACAGGGCUUUGGGUAUAAAAAAUGACAUGAGGAAUAGUGUUGCAUUCUGAGUCCUAUUUGAAACAACGAUGCCACCAUUUCAUUUGUCUGAAUGGAACCUAACAUGGUAGAAAAGAGAUUAGGAAGGAGAUUUUGAUUCACCUUUAGGUCCUUCUUUUAAAAUUGAGCCAUUUUAUCUCUUUUAAAUGUGCCCUCUACCCUCCCCACACACCAGAGUCUCAUAAAAUAGUUUUUCCUACAUGAGUAAUUAGUUUCCUUCUCUAUACAGAUUGUGGGGGAAUUGUCAUUUUGUGCCUAUGAAACAAAAGAAAAUUUGAUUCAGAAGAUUAAAAACACAUUCUUGCCUGCUCUAAUUAUAAAGAUUAAAAGCAUUGGGCCUCAUCUAAACAGUGAACUUAGAGGAUAAAUAUUUAUUUGUCCAGAUGUUUACCAAGCUCGAGAGAGCAGUUUCAUUUGUUUUAAAGCCAUGCGCACGGACCCUUCCACAUGCUGGGUCCUGAUGCCCCCGCUGCACCUCUGUGCUGUCUGGUUUGUGUGGAAGGACAGUGACACAACUCCAGGAUGAGGGCUUUGUUGGUGUCAAGAGGCACUAGACUUGAGCUAUUCAAGUGGCACAAAUAAGAAACAUAAUGUGUGUCUUUUUGUGAGUGUUUAUGUUUGUUUCAUUCUACUCAGAUGAAUAAAAGACUUCUCUUCCACAUCUGAGUAAAUGAAAUGAUCAAGCAAGAAUGUGCCCCACAUGUGUUCAAAAGCCAAGGAAAUGGCUGUAUUUAGGAUGCUAUUCACUGUAAUAACACUAACAAUACUUUUUAAUUGGUCCAGUUACUUCCUGAUCAUUGAGAUCUCCUAUAUUGUUUUUUAAUUAUCUAGGUCCUUGUAAUGGUUAAUAUUAUGUGUCUACUUGGAGGUGUUUUGGGGUGAGUUUAACAUCUAAAUCGGUGAACUUUGCAUGGAGCAGGUUGUGCU